CUUAGAGCUAGAUGAAGGUAUAUUCAUUUCUGCUUAAUUAUUCAUCUGUCAGGUGUUUAGGAACUUGUAGAUUUAUUUAGAAGCUGGUUCAUGGAGUUUCUGAUUUGUGUUAGUUUGAAGAUUCAUUAUUGUUGUACAAGUCCUUUCUCUACAUGUCUCCAGUGCCCUUAUCAUACAGCAUGUGAGUGUCAUUGGACAAUGUAGUGUGUGACUGAAAGAAGCUCAUGAGGCAUUUGGUGUGGAAUAUGGCCUUUAUUUUAUUGCCACUCUAUUGAGGGUUUUUUUUUUUUUUUAAUCUUUACACUUAUAAUAAGUGGAAUACUACCCUCCUCCCGACCCCCAGAAAAGCUGUCUACAUUUUAAUCCUUGGAACCUAUUGUCUUGCUUGGCAAAGAGACUCUGAAGAUCUGAUUAGGUUGAGAAUUCUGAGACAGAGAGACUAUCCUGAAUUAUCUGGGUGGGCCAAAUGUAAUUACAAGGGUCUUUAUAAGAGAAAACCAGGAAAUUCAGAGUGAGAGGAAGGUUUAAAAAAUACAUUGCUGAUUUUGAAAAUAGAGGAAGGGGCUAUCCAAGAAGUGCAGACAAGUUCCAGAAACUGGAAAAGAUAGGGAAGCAGGGUCUCUCCUGGAGCCACCAGAAAGGAAUGGAUCCCUGACAUCUUCAUUUUAACCCAGCGAUUACUUUUUUUUGGAUUUAUGAGUUGUUGUAAGCCAUUAUAUUUCUACUAAUUUGUUAUAACAUUAAUGGAGACUAGUAAAAUGCCCCCCAGAAUUGCAAAAUUUGGACAGGGGAACAACAUCAAGUAUUUGAAAAUAUGAAGAGAUGGGAAGGUUGUAACUGCUUGUGAACGUAUAGCCUGGUUUUUCCAUUCUGGAAAGCAAUUUGGAAAUAUUUUGUAAAAUUAAGUGUGUAUUUGUUCUAUGACCCAGAGAUCUUGCUGCUAGAUAUAUAUCCCAGAGAAAUAUUUUCAUAUAGUUCUAUACAGAUAGUUGUGUUCAAGUCUAUUUGUAUAGCAUAAUUAGUGCUAGUGGAAAUUAGAAGGCUAUCUAAGUAUUUACUUUUGGUUAAAAAUUAUUUAUUUAUUUUGUUGUUGUUCAGUCCCUCAACAUCAGCUGUGUCUGACUCUUUGUGACCCCAUAGACUGCGGCACACCAGGUUUCCUGUCCUUCACUAUCCCCAGUGUAUGGUCACACUCAUG
rnacentral:lncRNA from 1 species